UACGUAGGGUGCGAGCGUUGUCCGGAAUUACUGGGCGUAAAGAGCUCGUAGGUGGUUUGUCGCGUUGUUCGUGAAAACUCACAGCUUAACUGUGGGCGUGCGGGCGAUACGGGCAGACUAGAGUACUGCAGGGGAGACUGGAAUUCCUGGUGUAGCGGUGGAAUGCGCAGAUAUCAGGAAGAACACCCGUGGCUAAGGCGGCUCUCUAGUACGGUACUGACGCUGAGACGCGAAAGCGUGGGGAGCGAACAGG
rnacentral:rRNA from 1 species